rnacentral:sRNA from 1 species
CAGGGCACUCACUGUUCAGCGCCAGCUGGUAGCAGAGGGAAAUCCCUCCAACAGCCUGCCUUGAUAUAUCCCACGUGACAUCAUAAUUUUUAAACGUCAUCAUCAUUUACCUCUUCACAAGUCCAUACAUAGCACUGGGUACGAGAUGGGAAAUGAUCAAUGGUCUUGCUGAUUUUCUUCACUGGGGAUCGUCUUUACAUUGCAGCCGUCAAUACUGCCAUCGGAAUAAUUGGAUUUAGGUGAAUUGAUUCAGAUCGAAGAAACUCACACCCUGCAAUAUGUACGAUGCUUUGCGGAAGUGUUAUCAAAGCAGCUUUGAAUCGAAAGAUCCUCAUGCAAGAGUCUUUUGACAAAAUGUUCACUCUGCGGAAUUCUGCAAAAUUCCUUGAGAAAAAUUGGCCAGCCAGGAGGCCGUUUUUCCUACUGGUGAG